CAACUGGGCGUUGCGCAGCGUACGGGAAACUUGCUGAUGUCUGAUCACCCCUGAAUACUUACAUUGUAUCGGGAACCUCGCAGCUCUCGCUACACACCGUGUUUGUAGGCUGCUAAUGACGAAGCGCGGUUACGAGUGUGCGAUGUUUCAACUGGCUGACAAACCCACUCUAGCUCCGGCUUAUAGUUGAGCGUGAGCAGCUCUAGUAUUCCUGAAGCCUGGGUGACACUAAAGUUCUCUCUUUGAUCUAGAUUAACAUCUUAGAACACACCUAAAGCCAGGGAGAAGAGUGGCUUGUUUUAGUGAUAACUGAAGGGAAAGAUGCUACAGUUUCAGUUCAAGCUGUCCUGUGUGCGCUGUGUUUAAUAUAUACAUGGUUCUCUUACUCACCUGAGCACGUCAGCUGUGGCUAUCCAGUUAUCUGUAACUCCAAAUUAUGUAUUUUGUGUCAUUUUCACAAAUGUAACACUAGUUGCCCUGGAAAUUUGUGGUGGAAAGUAGGAAUUUUGAUAGUGAUUUUGGAUGCAACACAGAAGCCUAAUGUAUAAAAAUGGAAAUCUUUAAUGUGCAGCAAAACAAAGUACUUGUG